rnacentral:tRNA from 1 species
GUUAGAAGUAGCUCAGUGGUUAGAGCAAUGAAAAGAAGGCUGCCCGCUUGUUACCCCAGACAUAGAAAGGUGCCGUAGAAGGGCGUUACUUCGCCUGUCACGCUGGAGGUUGUGGGUUCGAUUCCCACCUUUUAUG